GACGAACGCUGGCGGCGUGCUUAACACAUGCAAGUCGAACGGAAAGGCCCUGCUUUUGUGGGGUGCUCGAGUGGCGAACGGGUGAGUAACACGUGAGUAACCUGCCCUUGACUUUGGGAUAACUUCAGGAAACUGGGGCUAAUACCGGAUAGGAGCUCCUGCUGCAUGGUGGGGGUUGGAAAGUUUCGGCGGUUGGGGAUGGACUCGCGGCUUAUGAGCUUGUUGGUGGGGUAGUGGCUUACCAAGGCUUUGACGGGUAGCCGGCCUGAGAGGGUGACCGGCCACAUUGGGACUGAGAUACGGACCAGACUCCUACGGGAGGCAGCAGUGGGAAAUAUUGCACAAUGGGCGGGAGCCUGAUGCAGCAACGCCGCGUGCGGGAUGACGGCCUUCGGGUUAUAAACCGCUUUAGCCUGUGACGAAGCGUGAGUGACGGUAAUGGGUAAAGAAGCACCGGCUAACUACGUG
rnacentral:rRNA from 1 species